GAUGAACGCUGGCGGCGUGCCUAAUACAUGCAAGUCGAGCGAACGGACGAGAAGCUUGCUUCUCUGAUGUUAGCGGCGGACGGGUGAGUAACACGUGGAUAACCUACCUAUAAGACUGGGAUAACUUCGGGAAACCGGAGCUAAUACCGGAUGAUAUUUUGAACCGCAUGGUUCAAAAGUGAAAGACGGUCUUGCUGUCACUUAUAGAUGGAUCCGCGCUGCAUUAGCUAGUUGGUAAGGCAACGGCUUACCAAGGCAACGAUGCAUAGCCGACCUGAGAGGGUGAUCGGCCACACUGGAACUGAGACACGGUCCAGACUCCUACGGGAGGCAGCAGUAGGGAAUCUUCCACAAUGGGCGAAAGCCUGACGGAGCAACGCCGCGUGAGUGAUGAAGGUCUUCGGAUCGUAAAACUCUGUUAUUAGGGAAGAACAUAUGUGUAAGUAACUGUGCACAUCUUGACGGUACCUAAUCAGAAAGCCACGGAUAACUACGUG
rnacentral:rRNA from 1 species